UUUCUUCGGAUUGAAAUUUUAGUGACUGAGUGGCGGACGGGUGAGUAACGCGUGGGUAACCUGCCUCACACAGGGGGAUAACAGUUGGAAACGACUGCUAAUACCGCAUAAGCGCACAGCUUCGCAUGAAGCAGUGUGAAAAACUCCGGUGGUACAAGAUGGACCCGCGUCUGAUUAGCUAGUUGGCAGGGCAACGGCCUACCAAGGCGACGAUCAGUAGCCGACCUGAGAGGGUGACCGGCCACAUUGGGACUGAGACACGGUCCAAACUCC
rnacentral:rRNA from 1 species